UUAAGCGAAAGUUCGGCUUGAGUUGACCUCAUUGGCAGCCAUAGGAAGUAAAUAAGAAGAGAGGAGAAUGAGAAGGAGAAAGAAGAAAAAGAAUAAAAGGGAAGAGGAAACGAUGUAACACUUAGAUUUUCUCUUGUAAAAGUGACAUUGCAAUUGUAGAUUUUUUGAGUUUUAAGAUUCUCUUCACUUAGGUUUCUUUUGCUUAUUUUAUCAUUUCCUUUUGUAAAUACAAACAUGAGUGAGUAAUUAUCUUGAGAUUUUAGAGUUGGGUGUAAUGUUUUAAAUUUAUUUAUGAAUUUGGACUAUGUUUUAUCUAGA
rnacentral:misc_RNA from 1 species